CAUGAGCAGCUUUACUAAGGACGAGUUUGACUGCCACAUCCUUGAUGAAGGCUUUACUGCUAAGGACAUUCUGGAUCAAAAAAUCAAUGAAGUCUCUUCCUCUGACGAUAAGGAUGCGUUCUAAAUUGCGGACCCUGGAGACGUUCUAAAGAAGCAUCGGAGGUGGCUAAAAGCUCUUCCCCGCGUUACUCGCUUUUACGCAGUCAAGUGUAACAAUAGCAGAGCACCCUAGCUGCCAUUGGGACAGGAUUUGACUGUGCAAGCAAGACUGAAAUACAGUUGGUACUAGGGCUUGGGGGUGCCUCCAGAGAGGAUUAUCUAUGCAAAUCCUUGUAAACAAGUCUCUCAAAUCAAGUAUGCUGCCAGUAACAGAGUCCAGAUGAUGACUUUUGACAGUGAAAUUGAAUUGAUGAAAGUCGCCAGAGCACAUCCAAAGGCAAAGUUGGUUCUGCGGAUCGCCACUGAUGAUUCCAAAGCCUUUUGUCGCCUCAGUGUUAAGUUUGGUGCCACACUCAAAACCAGCAGGCUUCUCUUGGAAUGGGCAAAAGAGCUAAAUAUUGAUGUCAUUGGUGUGAGCUUCCAUGUGGGCAGUGGAUGUACUGACCCCGAGAUCUUCGUGCAGGCAGUGUUGGAUGCCCGCUGUGUGUUUGACAUGGGAACAGAAGUUGGUUUCAGCAUGUAUCUGCUUGAUAUUGGUGGUGGCUUUCCUGGAUCUGAAGAUACAAAGCUUAAAUUUGAAGAGAUCACCAGUGUAAUCAACCCAGCUCUGGACAAGUACUUCUCAUCAGACUCUGGAGUGAGAAUCAUAGCUGAGCCAGGCAGAUACUAUGUCGCGUCAGCUUUCAUGCUUGCAGUCAACAUCAUUGCAAAAAAAACCGUGUGGAAGGAGCAGCCUGGUUCUGACGAUGAAGAUGAGUCAAAUGAGCAAACCUUCAUGUAUUAUGUGAAUAGUGGAGUAUGUGAAUCAUUUAACUGCAUUCUUUAUGAUCAUGCCCAUGUGAAGGCCCUGCUGCAGAAGAGUAUUACCCAUCCAGCAUCCGAGGGCCAACAUGUGAUGGCCUUGAUCGGAUCGUGGAGCGCUGUAACCUGCCUGAAAUGCAUGUGGGUGAUUGGAUGCUGUUUGAGAACAUGGGUGCAUACACCGUUGCUGCUGCUUCUACUUUCAAUGGGUUCCAGAGGCCAAACAUCUACUAUGGAAUGUCACGGACGAUGUGGCAACUCAUUAAAAAGAUCCAGAGCCACGGCUUCCUGCGAGAGGUGGAGGAGCAGGAUGAUGGCACGCAGCCCAUGUCUUGUGCUCAGGAGAGCGGGAUGGACCGUCACCCUGCAGCCUGUGCUUCUGCUAGGAUCAAUGCGUAGAUGCCAUUAUUAUAGCUCUUGCCUGCAAGUUUAGCUUGAAUUAAGGCAUUUGGGGGGACCAUUUAACUUAACUGCUAGUUUGGGAUGUCUUUGUGAGAGUAGGGUUGGCACCAAUGCAGUAUGGAAGGCUAGGAGAUGGGGGUCACACUUACUGUGUUCCUAUGGAAACUUUGAAUAUUUGUUUUAUAUGGAUUUUUAUUCACUUUUCAGACAUGAUA